GUGGGUGUUGGCCUGGAGGAGAAGAAAGGAGAAAAUCCUCCAUGGAUGUAUAAUCCCAAAAUGCAGCCUAUUGACAAUGAAGAUCUGACUAAAAUCCCUACAUGUUCAUGAAUUCUUGUUCAUCCAAACAUACUAAAGUAUAGGGCAUGAAGGAAGAAGGUGCAAGUCAAACCGGUACGCAAGCAACGCAAAAGAAAGGUAAAUAGUCCUUUGGAGUAAAAUCUUGAACCGGAGGAAUGAACACACAUCGCGCCAUUUAAUUGCUUCCGCUCGUCAAGUUCUUUAAAGGGUGGUAGUGUCUUUUGGUUAAUGGAUGUUUUUAUUAUGAUGUAAUGAUUACAACUUUUAUGUCUUUUGGAAACGUGUCGUAGAAUUUAGUUCUAAAUGUAGAAUUUAGUUUGAAUGGUGAUUUUUUUUAAAGUAGGGAAUCGCUUAUGUUACGAACGGGUC